GGCGGACGGGUGAGUAAUGUCUGGGAAACUGCCUGAUGGAGGGGGAUAACUACUGGAAACGGUAGCUAAUACCGCAUAACGUCGCAAGACCAAAGAGGGGGACCUUCGGGCCUCUUGCCAUCAGAUGUGCCCAGAUGGGAUUAGCUAGUAGGUGGGGUAACGGCUCACCUAGGUGACGAUCCCUAGCUGGUCUGAGAGGAUGACCAGCCACACUGGAACUGAGACACGGUCCAGACUCCUACGGGAGGCGCAUG
rnacentral:rRNA from 1 species